rnacentral:rRNA from 1 species
UUCCGGUUGAUCCUGCCGGAGGUCACUGCUAUUGGGAUUCGGCUAAGCCAUGCAAGCGGAGGGCGCGGUCGAAAGAUCGUGGCCCCGCACACUGCUCAGUAACACGUAGUCAAUCUACCCUUGGGACGGGGACAACCUCGGGAAACUGAGGCUAAUCCCCGAUAGGUGAGGGACGCUGGAAUGCCUCCUCGCCCAAAGCUCCGGCGCCCAAGGAUGGGACUGCGGUCUAUCAGGCUGUUGGUGGUGUAACGGACCACCAAACCUACGACGGGUACGGGCGAUGGGAGUCGGAGCCCGGAGAUGGGGACUGAGACAAGGCCCCAGGCCCUACGGGGCGCAGCAGGCGCGAAAACUCCGCAAUGCGCGCAAGCGUGACGGGGGAAUCCCAAGUGCCGUUGGUCUUAUGAUCGACGGUUUUCAGGAAGUCUAAGAAGCUUCCAGAAUAAGGGCUGGGCAAGACUGGUGCCAGCCGCCGCGGUAACACCAGCAGCCCAAGUGGUGACCACGAUUAUUGGGCCUAAAGCGCUCGUAGCCGGAUCAGCAAGUCCCUUGUGAAAUCGGGCCGCCUAACGGUUCGGCGUGCAAGGGAUACUGUUGGUCUUGAGGCCGGGAGAGGUCGGAGGUACUCCUGAGUGUAGCGGUGAAAUGCUCUAAUCCUAGGGGACCACAGCGGCGAAGUGUCGACCACAACGGAUCUGAAGGCGAGGGCGAAGCUAGGGGAGCAAAGGGAUUAGAUCCCUGGCAGUCCUAACUGUAAAGCAAGCGGGCAGGUGUCUAGUGCUCCUUGGGGCGCUAGGUGCCGGACGGAAGGCCAUUAAGCCGCCGCCUGGCAGGUAGGCCGCAGGCAGAUACUUUAAGAAAUGGUGGGAGAGCACCUCAGAUGGGGGAUCUGCGAGUCAUUGG